rnacentral:snoRNA from 1 species
AAGGCUGUACUUUCAGGGAUCAUUUCUAUAGUUGGUAACUAGAGGAGUGUGCCCAUACUGAAGGUUUUUCCAUCAGAAACUGACACACAGU